GAACUGCUGAAGAGUUCCACAACAGGAUGAAACGAUCGUCUAGUGC
rnacentral:hammerhead_ribozyme from 1 species